rnacentral:rRNA from 1 species
GACGAACGCUGGCGGCGUGCCUAAUACAUGCAAGUGGGACGCAAGGAAACACACUGUGCUUGCACACCGUGUUUACUUGAGUCGCGAACGGGUGAGUAACGCGUAGGUAACCUGCCUUUUAGCGGGGGAUAACUAUUGGAAACGAUAGCUAAUACCGCAUAAUAUUAAUUAUUGCAUGAUAAUUGAUUGAAAGAUGCAAGCGCAUCACUAGUAGAUGGACCUGCGUUGUAUUAGCUAGUUGGUAAGGUAAGAGCUUACCAAGGCGACGAUACAUAGCCGACCUGAGAGGGUGAUCGGCCACACUGGGACGGAGACACGGCCCAGACUCCUACGAGAGGCAGCAGUAGGGAAUCGUCGGCAAUAGACGAAAGUCUGACCGAGCAACGCCGCGUGAGUGAAGAAGGUUCUCGGAUCGUAAAGCUCUGUUGUAAGUCAAGAACGGGUGUGAGAGUGGAAAGUUCACACAGUGACGGUAGCUGAUCAGAAAGGGACGGCUAACUACGUG